UCUUAGGACUAUUUUUUAUUAAGAAAUUUUUUUAUUCAUUUUACAUACCAACCACAGAUUCCCCUCUCAUCUCUCCUCUUACUGCCCCCCCAGCCUUUCCCCUCAACCCAGCCCCGAUUCCCUUCUCCGAAAAGGUAAGGCCUCCCAUGUGGAGUCAGCAAAGCCUGGUACAUUCAUUUGAGGCAGGUAUUAUGACUAUCAUUUUUUGGGGCGGUGGGGGGGAGACAGGGACUAUGUAGCCCUGGUUGGCCUUAAACUCAGAGAUCCGCCUGCUUCUGCCUCCCCAGUGCUGGGAUUAAAGGUGUGGGCUGCCAUAACUGGCUUCGUCUUCACACAUACGUUAUACCUUGUUCUAAUUCAUUCCCUUUCACUGCCUUCCCCUCCCCUGUGUCCCUGCCUCUCUGGCUGGUUCCCUUCCUUUCCCCAGGUGACCACCUUCCUGCAUUUAUGGUUUCUCACCCUUUCUCAACAUCUCUUCCUGCGUGUUUGAGUGUGGACAUCAUAUAUGUACAUAAACUUUUAAGUCUUGCUUGGGAGAAAAUAUGGGCCUUUUUACAACCACGUGAAAUCCCAUUGUGUACAUACACCACAUUUAACUUUUUGUUUGUUUUUCGAGACAAGGUUUCUCUGUGUAGCCCUGGCUGUACUGGAACUAGCUGUGUAGAUGUGUAGACCAGGCUGGUUUUGAACUCAGAGAUCUACCUGCCUCUGCCUCCUGAGUGCUGGCUCCAUUUCCUGAUAGGGGUUACAAAUAGCUGACUUGCUAACAGACUCCAAGGGCUCUUUUGGUUGAACAGUGUGAUGGAUCAUCUUGACUGUCAACCCUACAGACUUAGAAUCACAAUGGGGAAUAUCUAUGAUGGAUUCUCUUUUUUCUUGUUUUUAAAAAUCACUGUUUUUUCUGUGUUUUGAGACAGUGCCUCUCUAUGUUAUCCUGGCUGUCCUGGAGCUCCCUACAUUGACCAGGCUGGCCUCAAAAUCAGAGAGCUGAGAUUAAAGGUGUGUGAGGCUAAUGGAUGUGGGGAGACGCACCCCAGUGUGGGCAACACUACUCCACGGGCUUGGGUCCCACACUGAGUACAAGUAUGUGGGUUGAGAAGCAGACUUCACUGCUCUGUGCUUCCUGACUGGAUGCAAUGUGACCAGUCAUCACCAGCUCAAGCCUCCAUGCUGUCCUUGCCAUGCUGGACUGGAUCCUGUCAAACUGUGAAAGCAGAUGAGCCCACCCUGGCUUCCCCAAGCUGCUGCUUGCCAGGAGCUUGGUCACAGCAACAGGAAAGCUACCUACCACACACUGGCACUCCUGGGAAGACAUGAAGCUUCCUGCUCUUCCUCUUUGCCAAGUUAUUUGGAACAUGUUCUCCUUGGUUUCAGACUUGACAUGGUCCAAUCCUGCCGGAGGAGGAUAAGAGUUCCCCUCAUGGGCCAGGCAUGGUGAUGCUCACCUUUAAUCCCAGCAUGCCAGGGGCAGCUGAAUCUUCGAGUUUCAGGCCAGCCUGGCCUGCAUACUCAGUUCCAGGCCAGCCAGAGCUACACAGUGAGACCUUGCCUCAAAAUAACAAAUAAAAAUAAGAGUUCCCCACACCAAGAAAUAGAGGAAGGAACCAUGAACCAGCUGUAUUCACUGAGCCACACCUAUGGUAGUCUUCUGAAAGGUUGGAGGGCGAUAACACAAAGCUGUGGUUCUUAGCUCCAUUUGGAGGGAAAGGGAAAGACAGGUCAUCUUGUGUUAUCAGGCUAGACUCCUCAUGAGGAAGGAAGGACAUGGCAGGAACCUUGGGACUUGGUAGAAUGUCCCUGUGCCCCACUCCCUUCCCAUGACAGAACUGAAAGCAUAUCCCAGAUAAGCUUUGUAUCAGAUCACCACAGAUGUGCCACAGCUGGACCUUAGACCCUCUGUCAUGUGACAAGAAAAUGAAAAGAGAAAGGCAUUGGUUCCCAACAUCCAAUGCACUUUAGUCUUGAUGUCUCAGGGAGUGCAGAUAUAGCUCAGUGUAGAGUGUAGAGCACUCGCCUAGCAUGUUCGAGGCCGGAGUCUGAGCCCCGGCAUUCCAGAGACCAUGCCUUCCCAGCAAGCACACUAAACCAUCUCAAUCAGGGUGUUCCAGUGGCUGACCCCAGAGCCUUACAAUUGUGAAGAGCAGCCUGGCCCAGAACCGGGGCAAGCGCUGGCCAAUCAGACCCAUCUGGAUAUGCAGUUUAUGUAGAGCACCACCUGGAAGGAAGCAUCAGAGACUUUUCAUUAGGGUCAAGUUCAGAGCUGGUGGGUUCAGACCAAGCCAAAACCCCACAGGACAAUUCACACAAAUCUACAGAACUCCAGGUAAGAACUCAGAAGACCAAAGGAAGAACAGAGCACAGAAAGGGGUGAGGUGAACUGGCUUAGAAUACAGGAUAGGCCAGGCGGUGGUGGCGCACACCUUUAAUCCCAGACUCUGGAGGCAGAGGAAGGUGGAUCUCUGAGUUCAAGGCCAGCCAGGGCUAUAAAGAAAAACUUUUGCCCCCCCCCCCCCCCCCAAAAAAAAAAGAAUACAGGAUAGGCAGAACUUGCUAAGACAGUCUUCCCACAGGAAAAGGAAACUGUUUAAUGUCAUUUGAAGAGGCCUUGGGCCACCCCACUCUCAAGUGACAAAAGGGCAGGGGAAGCAGCAGUGAGGCUGAGUCUGGGUAGCACAGGGGAGACUGCAUUCCAAGAGAAAGUGCAUUGGGGAUCAGGCAAAGGGGAACCUGAGCUGUGCAGGCUGGACUUGUCCUAGUCAGAAAAGACCACACUGCUGACAGGCCUUAAACCUGUCUGGCAGGCAAGCUUUGGAGACUCAAUACAUUUUGUCACCCCCUAUAUCUCAGAGUGCGAUACAGUCAGCCACCAUAUUGAGAAGGGGAUACUUAUUGUUUGAGACCCAGGCACUCUGGGGAACAGAAAGCAAGCAACAAUCAGGGAUCCUGGGGACUCCCUGCCACUGGGUUGCCAUGGAGACAGCCACAAAGGCUUGGAAAGGGGGAGGGCCAGAUGUAGACCCAGUGAGAGGCUGGAACACACUGGAGAGCAGAGCCUGACUAUAGAAUGCAGUGUUCAUCCACUUCUGUGGUGAGGGGAGGGACAAGCCUUUAGCUUGCACAUUACCAUGGAAACAGAAAGCUGAGCACAGGUCUAGGACUGCCCAUCUUUCCAGCCUCCUCCCCACAGGGCAGUUUGCCGCUGGGUGGGUCUCUAAGUGCCCACACCAACAGGCAGAACUUCAAGUCCCUCCGCUCUUCCUGCGUGCAGAACUCAGUGCUCGGCUUGCUGACCCUCUGACCACUUCAGCUGGACAUUUAUUACCUCUGGGUGUACAGAGGGGUGGAAGGGGGUGCUCUGGAGGCAUGGGAACCGAAACAGGUUACAGGCUACAAAGCCCAUGGGAGCCAGCAGCAGCUCCUGAUGCACGGAGCCUGCAAAGUUCUAAGAUUAACCCAGCAGUGACCCUGGCAGCUUAACAUUGACCAGCCCAGGCCUCAGCCAGUGGGAGCCAAGAGGAAUUGCAGUGAACUCCAUCUACAGAUGGAGGAAAUCUCACGCAGAGAGGGGGCUGGGACUCAUGUUAGAGGACCUGUAAAGAAGCUCCUACAUUCAACGCCCACCCCCCCACACACAUAGGCACAAUCAACAUUUUACCUUUUUAUUAUAUUUUACUAUUGUUUUCUUUUUAUUAAUUUUAAUUUUGUGUUGUUCUUAACACUCCAAUAGCUGUAUUCAAUGCUAUUAAAAUGACUGAAAUGCUGCACAAAGAACUGGAAGCCUAGUUUUAAAAAAUGAUAAAUGGGAGAGAGGCAUGGUGGCACACAACUUGAACCCCAGCACUUGGGAGGCAGAGGCAGGUGGAUCUCUGUGAGUUCAAGGCCAGCCUGGUCUACACUGAAAGUCAGGUCACUCAGUCAGAGCUACAUAGUGAGAUCCUAUCUCCAUAAAAAACUGAGGGAUGGCUCAGCAGGUAAGAGCGCCUACUGUUCUUCAAGAGGGCCGACAUUUGGCUCCCAGCGCCCACAUGGUGGCUCAGAACCAGUUCCUGAAGAUCCAACUCCUCUUCUACCCAUGCAGGCUUCUGCAUACUUGUGGUACAUAAACAUACUUUCAGAAACACACACAUACACAUAAAAUUAUUUUGUUUUAAUCAUGAAUGACCUCAAGAGACUUUAAAUGAACUCAAUUUACAAUCUGGGUGAGAUUUUCAACUUCAAUGAGCAACUCAGCAAAAAAGGAUUCUAAAAAAUAAAAACAAAAAUAUUGCAACAUGAAGUUUAAUACAUCACCUCAACGGAGAGCAUUACCAACAAACCAGCUUUCUCUACACAUAAGGACUGGUGGGCUUGGAGUGCAUACUGAACAGGCAGACCUCUGAGUUCAAGACCAUCCUCAGCUACUGAGUUCCAGGGCAGCCAGAGCUACAGAGCCCCACCCCAAAAGGAAAAAAUGUGGGGCCACAAAAAAAUUGGCUAUAGUAAUGGUAGGGGGACAGGAAGGCACAUCUAUAUUCUGUAUUUAAAGACAUUUUCACCUCACAUUGCUGAGCGGAGUCUGCUGUAUUUAGUUCAUAUGUACACAAUCAAUUUUUGGUUGAGUCAGCACCCACCCCACCCUGCCCCUACGGCACAGACACCCCAGGAGUAGUACAAGGUUGGCACUGGCGGAUGUUAACUAGACUCGAGGUUCGAAGAACUGCCUGAGCCCAGACAUGCAGAGAAUGCCAAGAGAUGGUGAAAGACAUCACACGUCUUAGAGAUAUGGCUGAGUCCCUAGAAGAAAGGGACAAAACUGAACUCUGGAAUGAUUGGCUCUAUGGCCCACCCCACCACACCCCCUGUAAGGUUGACUGACUGGAGAGGAAAUAUAAAGCAGUUUUCAGGCAGUUAGAUUCUAUUAAGAUUGUUGGCUUUAAUAGAUUAGAGUCUAAAGUUCAGCCAGGUGUAGCAGCACAGGCCAUUACUGCUAGCACUCAGGCAGAUCUUUGUGACUUUGAAGCCAGCCUGGUCUACAUUGUGAGUUCCAGCCUAGCCAAGGCUAUAUAGUGAGACCUUGUCUCAAAAACCAAAAGCAAAUGGAAACAAAGGUUUCAGUUUGUCUCUACUCAUUGGACAUCCCAAGUGCCAGGAAUAGGUUUCUGACAUGCAAUACCCACAGGUUAAUUUAAAAUCAAACAUGUUAAGAACCCCAGGUAUCUCUGGAGCUCAGCUGUGUUGUAGUUUGUUACAGCAGCUUCCUUCUGAGCACAUGCACGCACACUGCACCAGAUGCUGCUGUGGCGGCCUGUCAGAACACAAUCCAUGGAUGAAGCCUGUGAGAUUUCGGAGAGCUUGUGAGAAAACUCCAAGUAUCCAAAACAAGAGUCUUGUAACCUCCGCUCCUCCAUAACAUGAAUCAUUCUUGGAUGUGCUCCUGCCAGGUGUAGUAAUUAUUUCCCAGAAUGUUGUCUUUGUGACUGUGUACAACUGAACUUUUAUGGAAUGGCUUUGCCUAGCCCUCAGAAUAUACAUUGUCUGAUGCCCGGAACAGUUAGCUGUUGUCAACUUUGGCCUCCGUGUGGGGCGUGUUGGAAUUACAGAUGUUUGUGAACAGUCUCUGAAACACCUCAGACCAGAUUGGAGACUAGUAUAUGUUACUGAAUGCAGGAGAAAGAAGUAAAGGGGAAAUAAAUAAAAAGAAAUAGUUUCUAAAUCUCACAUGCUACUUCAAGCUCUGGUGCCAUUCCAAGUGUGUUCCCCAGGCCUUGCCCAGAUCAUUCCCGAUCAUCAUGGUAUUCCCUUGGUUUACCAUAACUACAGUCUAACCCCACCAUGUCCACUGUGGUCCUGAGCACCAGCCAGCCUGUGAGUGGGCCAGCAGGGUUUCUCCAUGGCUUCUCUGUCCUUCCUUGAUCAGAGGCAAUGCUGUAUGGAACAGCUAGCAGGCCUUCCUUCGAAUUCCUGCCUUGACUUCCCUCACUGAUGGAUCAUGACCUGCCACUGUCGGUCCAAUCGACAUUUUCUUCCCCUAAGUUGCUCUUGAUCACAGUAUCUCUCAGUCUCAGCAAUAAAACUAGAACACAUCUAGCCAGCCCAAGUGCCCGUGACCUCUUACCUAGACUGCCACUUGCUGACACUCCCACUCCACCGUUUUCUCUAGACCAUUCUCAAUUAAGAAUGGCAGAUCUAGGCUGAGGACGGCUCAGUUGGUGAAGCAUCUGCCACAGAAGCAGGAGCAGCUGAGUUGCAUCCACUAAAAAGCCUGGUAUGCUACAGCGGCCUGUAAUCCCAGGGCUAGGAAAGUGGAGACAGCCAGACUAGCCUCCUCAGUGAGUUCCAGGUUCAGAGAUCCCGCCUCAACAAACAAAGGAAGAGAGUGAUCAGGGAAAGAAAUGUGACAUUGGUCUUUGGCCUCUACACUCAAGUCCAUAGAUACACAUGCCCACACUGACAAGCAUUUUCACCACACAUAACACACCAGGAAAAAGAAUGUUGCCCCUUGUAUGAGAACGCCCACUCCUGGCCCAGACUCUAUCACAAGGCUGUACUUCUCGCGGGACCUCCUGAUCCUGGCAGGCAGUAUGGGGUAUGUACUGUCUCCUACGUAGCCUGGGCCCACUACUGUCAGUAUCCGACAGAACUGUAUUUGACUGCUAUACUUGGGUGACAGAACACAGAGCUUCUGACUGAACAGCAUCACCCCCAAAAGAGAACACCCUUCCAGUCCUCGUCAGCCGUGAUGUACCUUUGUAGCAGAUGCCCAGAUCCAUCGACCCACACAUCCUCUCAGUAUGCAAUAAAACGUCCAGCACACAGGUCCAAAAUAACAAUGGUCUCCCUGUCACCCACAUGUAACCAAGACUUACAAAUACUACUUAUACUCACUGUUUGCUUUUUCUUUUUUGCUUGUCUUCUGCUCUGUGGUAUAACGAUUUUGUUUAAAAUGUCAAAAAGACCAGCAGGACAAGAAAAAGAGGAAGCAUUUAUGUCCAUCUACAGCACAGGAAGUCAACCUGCUGGAAAAACUGGACAGCGGUAAACCAUCUUAUUAAAGAGUAUGGUACUAGAACAACUACCAGAUAUGACCUGAAGAAACAGGAAGAGAAAUUGUUGAAGGUCAGGGCUGAAAGUGAGCUAAGAGUAAAGAACAGAAAAACAUGGCAUUAGGCUAAAACUGAAGCACCCUGAUGAAGUAUUGAAAGAGCGGACCCAUCAGUGUUAGCAGUGAACAUGCGCUAUUGGACAGUGUGCUGCUUGUGAAACAGCCAAUGAUCACACGGAACUGUGAAUAUUCAAAGCCUGACUGCAGAAACUUAAAAGAAGGAACGGCAUUAACAUUUUAAAGAUGUGUGGCAAAACAGACCUAAGGCAGAGAAAUUCGUGGACAACAUGAAUACUGAAGCCACUCUGGACAUUGACGAUGAGCGAGGCCCCAGGUGUUCGUCAUUUCCCUCACUAGGCUGUGGUAAGCAGAUGGACUGCCCGCACUCAGAUGGCCGUAACAGUGGUGAGGACAUCGUGGGGAGCACUGCAAACUGCCUCUAGACGCCAUGUGCAACCGUAAGGAAAUGGUUGCUCACUGGUGGCGUAUAUAUUCAGCUAGGGUUAUGGUGAGGUCAAAUAGCCAGAUUGUCCAUACAGGGAGGAAGUGAGACCUUUGCUUUCUGGUGAAGUGGACACAAACUUUGUUUCAUCCACAAAGUGAUUGAAAAUACUGUGUAUAAGGUAUGUGUGAAACAUUAAUGAAUUUUAUGUCUAGACUUAUAUCUACUCCCUAGAUAUCUCAUUAGACACACUACUCUAAAACCCAAAACAACUGGAACUUUUGGUCCAGAGCAUUUCAGACAAGAGAUGCUUUCAACAUAAUGAGAUUUCUGCUGCCUGUAGUGAAUGUUUCCAUGCAUACACAUAUUUAAAUAUGGACUUCAGAAGUAGGGUAAGUUCCUGGCACACUUUAUGACACAAAGUACAGCGAGGUAAACUGAGCUCUGAGGAAGUUUUGCUCCCUGUAACAUUAUCCUGUCCCCUUGCCAUACUCCCUGGUAACAACUUUAGUCUAUUUCCAUAGGUUGUCUUUGUUUUGACUACACACCACUGCUGCCCCACAAUAAAAAGAAAUGCUAUUUGUUUAAAAGGAAAUGCUAUUUGUUUAAAAACAAACAAACAAACAAACAAACAAACCCACAGAGGCUAGUGGAUCUUUGUGAGUUCGACAAUAGCCAGGGAUACAUGAAUUUCACUGUAUAUCCUGACUGGCCUCAAACUUUGGAUCUCCCCCCAGCUACAGUUACAUUGGAUCCCUACUGGCUUGAAAGUCGAAAUCCUUAACAUAGAGACCCAGCUGUCAUGUGCCUGGCUGCUGUUUGCUGUCUGGUAACUUGUUUAAAGUUUCAAUUUCGCCCCCUCCAUUCUUUACUCAAACUGUUCUAAAGGACUUGACGUAAGAACAAUCCAUGCCUGCACUCAAUGUUUUCUAAGAAUUCCAGCAACAGCUCUGCUGUUCGUACACGGGGUCAUUCUUAAACAAACCUACUAGGAGCGGAAAGCAUCAAGUCAAAGAACACUUGGUAACCUGACCUACUCGAUGGCUCACUGUCACAACACUGCACUUGCAGGACAGGACGGCUCACAUGUUAUCGCGAUACUCAGGAGACUUACUCAGGAGGAGGACCAGUCUAGGGAUAGAGAAUGAAUUUCCGAACAGCCGGAUCUACCAAGUAACACCCUGUUGCAUAAACCACUACUGUACCCUCCGCCCCCCCCCCAAAGAAGAAAUAGCCAACUUUUCACAAAAUCUGGGAUAAAUUAAGCCAAAUAGCCUUUACAUUAAGACGUGUUGAGAAAAAACAGACAUUUUUCUACAAAAGAGGCAAGACAAACCAGUGUAAAAGCUGGAAAUUUAUUGUUAUUUGUGAUUAAUAAAUCAAACUGGAGAUGACACCGCCCCGCCUGUGGUACCAUUCACCAGUACAAAGUCCUUAACCCAGACAGACGGAGGCGUAAGGCAGAGCGCAGGGACACACCAACACUAUCCUCGCCAAGCUCUCCAGCCAUGCCUCCACCCUGACUUUUGUACAUGCUUUCUUCCUGGGGAAAGUGUCACAACAGUGCAGUCUGGGGGCAACCUGGCCUCUCAACCUUUUAAUAGCAAGCAGCUUACAGAAGUUACAGAAUUCACCUUCUAGUUCCCUUGAUUUUAUUUGUCUGAACUCGUUUUAGAUUAUUUUAACAUCAUAAUUUUGGAUAACUGUACAAGAAAGAAUACAAUGACCUAAGAGAAUACUGAACCAGAGUCAGCCGCAUAUAUCACUGACCCUAAAGUUAUAUUUUAAUUGGUCCCGAAGGAAUGUAUCACCCCAACAGUGUGAGAGUUAGGCAAAUAGAACUUCUUUGGGGAAGGAAGAAAGAGGCUAUAGGAUAGCCAAACUUACUCAAAACUGUUAAAACGGCUCUUUGUUUUCACCAGACUGACACUACUAUAUGCAUAGAGUCUCCACAGAAUCUUGGUUGCCAGUAUUACUUAGUUCAGGCUGGCCCAAUCCAGAAUAAGAUUCUGUCUUACCCCUCCCCCACCCCCCUUCUCUGAGGCUCUGAACAGCACAACAUUCAACUAUUUCUUAAUAGAACUAGGCAAACACUUCAGAAACAAGUGGCUCACUAAUCAUUUUAAACCCAGGUAUUGCCUAUGAAUGAGAAAGCUGAUAAACCCAAAAGAUAGUUCUACUUUUAUAUGGCAAUUAAAACGGAAACAUCAGCACUUUCAGUGAAAGCAACAUUCAAUCAAACUCAAUGCUGCUGAGACAGCUAUGGGGAGCAGAAAGCCCCGGGUAUAUGCAUUGGAGUAUGUUACAGUGCUUCUUCAAUCUGAACAAAAGAAAGGUAAUUUACAGCCAUUAUGUAAAUGUUGAGAUAUUAUUACAGUAUAUUUCCUGUACAAUUAAAUGUCCCUAAAGAGAUAACCAGAAUCAGUUUUUCUUUAUUUUCAACAAACCUGACUAAAUGGCACUUCUGCUGAGAGAUGUUUAUCAAAGGUGCUGUAAGAUUCUACACAAUUAAGAAUCCUUAUUUUACUUUUUUGGUUACAGGAAUUUUGCUUAGAUGAUCUAGAAACGCGCAAUAAUUUGUACUGUAUACAAAUAAGCAAAAUUGUCAGUAGUAUAAAUCUUACAGCAUUAUUUGCAAAAAUACAUGCCAAAGUCACAAUAAGCAAUACUGUCCCACAAAUCAUGGAGCGCAAAUGAUCUGCUUUUUAAUGCCUUUAUUCUACAUAAAUUACUACCAUAGGGUUAUGUUUAAAAAGCAAGUUAGUUGGACAGAUGCAGGACAAAAAUUUGUUCACCCAAUUAGAAAAGGUGAUAUUUUUAAAAAAUUACAAUAAAUGCCAAGUGUUUGAUGCAUGCAGCAGCCUUAACUGAAAACAUUGAUUCCCACUGUUCCAAAGAUACAGAAAACCCGCACAUCUUACUGCACUCCACCUCAGAUGCUUCCUAUUGGUUUCGUUUAUAACAGCACAGAAUUCCAAUGAAAUAAAGCAGGUUAUUUUAAAGAUUUAAGAGCCGUUA